rnacentral:lncRNA from 1 species
CCUCUCUUUCUGUUCUUCUAUUAUUCUGUCUAAGACUCCUUUGACGAAUACUUCAUCAUAAUCUCUACUUUCAACAAUUUUCUGUUUUAAAUCGACUAUUUUCAAAUCUGCAGUCACAUGAACUCCCAGUUCAGCCGCGAGAUUUUGCAAAUCUUCCUUACGAGCUCUUCCUAAUGUUUAUGAACUGCCUCUGGGUUGACUGUGAUUUUAAUUAUUUUGAGUUAACCGUGGACUUCGUCCCCAGCAUGAUCACUUUUAAUCAAAGUUUGACUUUAAAAAUUAACAAGAAAAAACAAUGUCCAAUUAGAAUCUACAGUCAGAAGAUAAUUUCCAGCAAUUUCUUUCCAAGAGGCAUCUGAGAAGGAAGAUAACGUAGCUGAGACAUUCAAGGAAACUUUAUCUCUCUUGACUUUUCCACGGAUUAUCUUCAGAUUUUCUUAUGACAAGUGUUACUUUAUACAACUAUUAAGACUAUUAUAAAAUAAAGAAGCAUUUCUGGG